AACGAACGCUGGCGGCGUGCUUAACACAUGCAAGUCGAACGCGAAAGUUUUCUUCGGAGAGCGAGUAGAGUGGCGCACGGGUGAGUAACGCGUAGAUAACCUGUCUUUGUGUUUGGGAUAACCGGGCGAAAGUCUGACUAAUACCGGAUGUGCUUGUCUUUCAUAAGUUUGGCAAGUAAAGGUAGCCUCUGUCAUAAGCUAUCGCACGAAGAGGGGUCUGCGUACCAUUAGCUAGUAGGUGGGGUAAGGGCCUACCUAGGCAACGAUGGUUAGCGGGUCUGAGAGGAUGAUCCGUCACACUGGCACUGGAACACGGGCCAGACUCCUACGGGAGGCAGCAGUGAGGAAUAUUGCGCAAUGGGGGGAACCCUGACGCAGCGACGCCGCGUGAGUGAGGAAGGCCUUCGGGUCGUAAAGCUCUGUCAGAGGGGAAGAAGUGCACAGCGGUUAAGAGCCGUUGUGUUUGACGGUACCUUCAAAGGAAGCACCGGCUAACUCCGUGCCAGCAGCCGCGGUAAUACGGAGGGUGCGAGCGUUGUUCGGAAUCACUGGGCGUAAAGGGCGCGCAGGCGGCCAGGUAAGUCAGAUGUGAAAGCCCACGGCUUAACCGUGGAAGUGCAUUUGAAACUGCUUGGCUUGAGUACCAGAGGGGAGGGUGGAAUUCCCGGUGUAGAGGUGAAAUUCGUAGAUAUCGGGAGGAAUACCGGUGGCGAAGGCGACUUUCUGGCUGGAUACUGACGCUGAGGCGCGAAAGCGUGGGGAGCAAACAGG
rnacentral:rRNA from 1 species